rnacentral:rRNA from 1 species
GAUGAACGCUAGCUACAGGCUUAACACAUGCAAGUCGAGGGGAAACGGCAUCGAAAGCUUGCUUUUGAUGGGCGUCGACCGGCGCACGGGUGAGUAACGCGUAUCCAACCUGCCCAUCACUUGGGAAUAACCUUGCGAAAGUAAGACUAAUGCCCAAUGACAUCCCACGAAGGCAUCCGAAUGGGAUUAAAGAUUUAUCGGUGAUGGAUGGGGAUGCGUCUGAUUAGCUUGUUGGCGGGGUGACGGCCCACCAAGGCAACGAUCAGUAGGGGUUCUGAGAGGAAGGUCCCCCACAUUGGAACUGAGACACGGUCCAAACUCCUACGGGAGGCAGCAGUGAGGAAUAUUGGUCAAUGGGCGAGAGCCUGAACCAGCCAAGUAGCGUGCAGGAUGACGGCCCUAUGGGUUGUAAACUGCUUUUAUAAGGGAAUAAAGUGGGUCACGUGUGACUUUUUGCAUGUACCUUAUGAAUAAGGACCGACUAAUUCCGUG